rnacentral:rRNA from 1 species
UACGUAGGUGGCGAGCGUUGUCCGGAAUUAUUGGGCGUAAAGGGUGCGUAGGUGGCUUUUUAAGUGGGGCGUGAAAUCCCCGGGCUUAACCCGGGAGCUGCGCUCCAAACUGGAAAGCUAGAGUGCAGGAGAGGAAAGUGGAAUUCCCAGUGUAGCGGUGAAAUGCGUAGAGAUUGGGAGGAACACCAGUGGCGAAGGCGACUUUCUGGACUGUAACUGACACUGAGGCACGAAAGCGUGGGGAGCAAACAGG